UGCAAGUACAUCUACGCCAAGGACCGC
rnacentral:piRNA from 1 species